CGUUAUUCGGAAUUACUGGGCUUAAAGGGUGCGUAGGCGGCUCGGAAAGUUGAAUGUGAAAGCCCUCGGCUUAACCGAGGAAUUGCAUCCAAAACUACUGGGCUUGAGUGAGAUAGAGGUGAGCGGAACUCACGGUGGAGCGGUGAAAUGCGUUGAUAUCGUGAGGAACACCGGUGGCGAAAGCGGCUCACUGGAUCUUUGCUGACGCUGAGGCACGAAAGCUAGGGUAGCGAACGGG
rnacentral:rRNA from 1 species